AGAGUUUGAUCAUGGCUCAGGAUGAACGCUGGCGGCGUGCCUAACACAUGCAAGUCGAGCGAGGGUUUGCUCAGUAUUGAGUAUUCUAAGUCUAGAAUGUUCAAUUCUGAGCAAAACCAAGCGGCGGACGGGUGAGUAACGCGUGGGUAACCUGCCCUAUACACAUGGAUAACAUACUGAAAAGUUUACUAAUACAUGAUAAUAUAUAUUUGCGGCAUCGCAGAUAUAUCAAAGUGUUAGCGGUAUAGGAUGGACCCGCGUCUGAUUAGCUAGUUGGUGAGAUAACUGCCCACCAAGGCGACGAUCAGUAGCCGACCUGAGAGGGUGAUCGGCCACAAGGGGACUGAGACACGGCCCUUACUCCUACGGGAGGCAGCAGUGGGGAAUAUUGGACAAUGGACCAAGAGUCUGAUCCAGCAAUUCUGUGUGCACGAUGAAGUUUUUCGGGAUGUAAAGUGCUUUCAGUUGGGAAGAAAAAAAUGACGGUACCAACAGAAGAAGUGACGGCUAAAUACGUGCCAGCAGCCGCGGU
rnacentral:rRNA from 1 species